rnacentral:rRNA from 1 species
UACGUAGGGUGCAAGCGUUGUCCGGAAUUAUUGGGCGUAAAGAGCUCGUAGGCGGUCUGUCGCGUCGGCUGUGAAAACCCGGAGCUCAACUCCGGGCCUGCAGUCGAUACGGGCAGACUGGAGUUCGGCAGGGGAGACUGGAAUUCCUGGUGUAGCGGUGAAAUGCGCAGAUAUCAGGAGGAACACCGGUGGCGAAGGCGGGUCUCUGGGCCAUUACUGACGCUGAGGAGCGAAAGCGUGGGGAGCGAACAGG